rnacentral:pre_miRNA from 11 species
UUGUUUUCCGGCGUGGCAUCUUCAAGAUUCACGCACAAAGAGCACAAGCUUUUGGAAGAUGAGAAUCUUGAUGAUGCUGCAUCGGCAAUAAA